CUGGUGUCAGCCGCCGCGUGUAAUACCAGCACCCCGAGUGGUCGGGACGUUUAUUGGGCCUAAAGCAUCCGUAGCCGGUUCUACAAGUCUUCCGUUAAAUCCACCUGCUUAACAGAUGGGCUGCGGAAGAUACUAUAGAGCUAGGAGGCGGGAGAGGCAAGCGGUACUCGAUGGGUAGGGGUAAAAUCCGUUGAUCCAUUGAAGACCACCAGUGGCGAAGGCGGCUUGCCAGAACGCGCUCGACGGUGAGGGAUGAAAGCUGGGGGAGCAAACCGGAUUAGAUACCCGGGUAGUCCCAGCUGUAAACGAUGCAGACUCGGUGAUGAGUUGGCUUAUUGCUAACUCAGUGCCGCAGGGAAGCCGUUAAGUUUGCCGCCUGGGGAGUACGGUCGCAAGACUGAAACUUAAAG
rnacentral:rRNA from 2 species